rnacentral:rRNA from 1 species
AUUGAACGCUGGCGGCAUGCUUUACACAUGCAAGUCGAACGGUAACAGGCCGCAAGGUGCUGACGAGUGGCGAACGGGUGAGUAAUGCAUCGGAACGUGCCCAGUCGUGGGGGAUAACGCAGCGAGAGCUGCGCUAAUACCGCAUACGAUCUAUGGAUGAAAGCGGGGGACCGUAAGGCCUCGCGCGAUUGGAGCGGCCGAUGUCAGAUUAGGUAGUUGGUGGGGUAAAGGCUCACCAAGCCAACGAUCUGUAGCUGGUCUGAGAGGACGACCAGCCAAACUGGGACUGAGACACGGCCCAGGCUCCUACGGGAGGCAGCAGUGGGGAAUUUUGGACAAUGGGCGCAAGCCUGAUCCAGCAAUGCCGCGUGCAGGAAGAAGGCCUUCGGGUUGUAAACUGCUUUUGUACGGAACGAAACGGUCCUGGUUAAUACCCGGGGCUAAUGACGGUACCGUAAGAAUAAGCACCGGCUAACUACGUGCCAGCAGCCGCGGUAACAC